ACAGAUGCUUGGACCGACCGAAAAAGGAGAAGCAUUAUGAACUUGUGCGUUAAUUGUAAGCAAGGGACUUGUUUUCUUUCUUCAAAGGAAGAUUCAGAGGCGUCACACACGGGGGUGUAUAUCUUUGACUAUGUUGACAAGUUCAUUGAAGAUAUUGGGGCACAAAAUGUAGUUCAAGUAGUGACGGACAAUGCAUCCAACAAUAUGGCCGUGGCGGAUUUGCUAAAGAUCAAGAGGCCUAACAUAUUUUGGACCUCAUGUGGCACCCACACAAUUAACCUCAUGCUUGAAGGAAUUGGUAAGCAAUCCAAGUUUAAAGCUACUAUUGAUAAGGCCAAAGCGUUCACUAUAUUUGUUUAUGCUCAUCAUAAUACAUUGGCGAUGAUGAGAAAAUAUACGAAGAAGAGAGACAUAGUGAGGCCGGGUGUUACUCGAUUUGCUACAUCAUUCUUGACUUUACAAAGUUUGAUGGAAAAGAAACAAGAAUUGCGAGCGAUGUUUAGUAGCAAUGUAUGGGGUGAGAGUAAAUGGGCUAAGAGCCCAAAGGGAAAAACGGCAUAUGCUACUGUGAUGAGUCAGGCAUUUUGGAAUGGCGUAACCUUAUGCUUGAAAGUGUUUGGUCUGUUGGUGAUAGUUCUUCGACUUGUUGAUGGGGAUCGUAAGCCCUCAAUGGGCUUUGUGUAUGGAGAGCUCACAAAAGCAAAAGAAGAGAUCAACGCGGCAUACAAGCAAGUUGAGACUAACUACCGGCCAAUACUAGAUGUCAUUGAUGGGAAAGCUAAGGGUCGGCUAGAUAGUGCAUUGCAUUUGACAGCUUACUUUUUGAAUCCUUUUUACUUCUUCAACAAUUCUACCAUUCAAGAUGAUCCUAUCAUUAUGGAUGGGGUUCUUACUUGUGUUGAAGCUUUCUUUCCCGAUGAUGUCAAUGUUCAAGAUGAAGUCAUCAAUCGAGAGUUGUUGAAGUACAAGAACAAAGAAGGUGGAUUUGGAAGACCAUUAGCCGCAAUGGGAUGUGCGACGAACAAUGACUCUUAUGAUCCGGGUAAAUAAGUAGUUACUUUCCUUCUUAGUAUUAUUCUUUUUGCUAAGUUACUUAGUUACUUAGUACUAUUUUUUUGUGUGCUUUCUCUCAUGACUAGUUGGAUGGUGGUCUAACUAUGGCAAUCAUACACCCAAUUUGAAAAGAAUGGCCACUCGAAUUCUCUCUUUGACUUCAAGUUCAUCGGGGUGUGAGAGAAAUUGGAGCACUUUUGAGGGAAUACAUACAAAGAAAAGGAAUAGACUAGAUGCGACAAGGUUGAACAAUCUAGUCUAUGUCCAAUUCAAUGUCAAACUCAUCAACAAUAAAAGAAAUGGGAAGGAUGUAUUACGUACUAAAGAAUCAACAAAUGCACAAGGAUGGCUAGUUGAAGGUGGUGACGAGGAAGUUGACCCGGUUUCGGGACUUACAUGGGAGGUAAUUGGGGAAGCUACGGGAGCGGAUGAAGUCCUUCAACCUAGAAGGACUACUAGAAAUAUUGGAGUACGAGAACUACAUGAGGAAGAUUUUGUGUCGGAGGAUGAUACCGAAGAGGAGGUAGAUGAGGAUUUUGAGUGUGAGUCCGAUGGAGACGAAGUUAUGCAUGGAUAUGGAGAAGAAGAGGAUGCGUAAUUGACUAAUAAUUUCAUACUUGAUUUCAUUUGGUUUGAACGUUGAAGUUUGUAAUUGACUAGUAAUUUUCCGUACUUGUUUUCAUUUGGUUUGAACAUUGAAGUUUGUAAUUGACUAGUAAUUUUCAGUACUUGAUUUUAUUUGGUUUGAACUAUGAAUAUUGAACUUCUAUGUCUCUAUAUUUGAAAUGUAGAGAAGUGUUAACAUUGAGUAUCCGAUAGCCAAAGAGAACUAAGAAAUUUUUUGGGAGAGAAGAUAUAUCACAUCAACUAGAAAAACUGUGAUUAUUAAUGUCACGGACUCUAGGGAGGUUGUAGAAUAUUUAUAAAAAAAAAAACCCGACUAAUUGCUAAAAGGCGAUUAACGGCCGAUUAAUUGGUCUCGAAGCUUGAAGGUGGUCGGCCGCCCGCCUAGCGCCGAUCACUUUUUAGAACAUUGA